GUUCAUGUGGCUGAUUAGCCCCUUCCUGAUAGCUGGCCAUUCAAGCUUCAUGAUGUUUUCUUGGUUUUAUCAUUAUAUGUGAUGGUCCGCUGUUAGUUCAGCCAAAUAUCAUUCUUGUGGUCCAGUUGCAUGUUAUACAAUGAACACACCCAGUACGAAGGUUAAACGCAAUAUCCUGUAUUUUCAGAUAGUUGAUCGUGUUGCUGUGCAUGUGCUUCGCUGGAGCUGUGGUUCCCAAAUUAAAUCAUACAUUCAGGUAUUGCCUUCCAAUUUCAUAUCAUGUUCUCUCCAGUUAGUGUCCACUUAUUUUUCGGUUGGUGAAAAUCACAUAGACAAAAGUUGGUUCAUACACACCUACUAAUUUUGUAUAUUCAGCAGUUAGUUAGCUCAAGAGAAAUAGGGCUUAGUGUAGGUUCCCACUUUUGAUUUAUUUAGUGUUCCAGUAGCCCAAUUAAUCUAUGUAAGGUAAGCAGGCAUGUAUAUGGUUUUGCAGCCAAAGAACAAUGAAGAUCAGGUCACAAGAUUAGUGUGGCUUCGAAGAAUAGAAUAAUCAUAUUGCUACUUGUGGAUGCUUUAUUUGAAGGCUUUAUCUUGAGACAAACACUUAAAGAUUGGCGGAACGAGCUUCAGAAGGGAAAGGAGUAGGACAAAGGUGUCGUCACAGAAGACGUAGGGCUGAGAUCAGGGGAAGGAGGUGGCGGGAGGGAGACUGCAGCGACUGCGAUGAGCUCCGCUUUCUUCCGCGCUGUUAGAUCUUCUUUUUAUCUGUACGUGGCUUUUUAUUUCUUUCCAUCACAUUUAUACUGCUUCUGGUUUUGUAUUCCUGUCGCCUUAUA